rnacentral:rRNA from 1 species
UACGGAGGGAGCUAGCGUUGUUCGGAAUUACUGGGCGUAAAGCGGGCGUAGGCGGUUUGUUAAGUCCGCUGUGAAAGCCCUGGGCUCAACCUGGGAAUUGCAGUGGAUACUGGCAAGCUAGAGUGCGGUAGAGGAUGGUGGAAUUCCCGGUGUAGCGGUGGAAUGCGCAGAUAUCAGGAGGAACACCGGUGGCGAAGGCGGGUCUCUGGGCCGACAUUGACGCUGAGGAGCGAAAGCGUGGGGAGCGAACAGG